AUAAGAGGGCGCUAGAAACCUUUGGCUUCCUUCUUCGCUAACUGCUGCUUAGAGAGAAGAAGAAAAGCCUGGAAGUAAACGAAAACAACCCGAAAACAACCCCAGCGCGUGUAGUGCUUCUGUUGUUUUGUUUUAUUUGCAUUUUGUGUGUGUGUGUGUGUGUGUGUGUGUGCGCCUGUGUACGCAUUUUAUGGCCGUCUCGCCAUCUCUUGCAGGAAAAAAGAAGCGAUCAACAGAAGUAACAGCCAGAGCUAGGAGGAUCUUUUAUGUUUGUUUCAAUGUGGCCAAUGGGAUUUCGCUUAACCAAGCGACCACUCAAACUGGCCUAACAAUGACAGACGUAUCAGGUUGGAAUACCAAAAGAAGAAAGAAAGAACCUCAAAGCAAGAAAACUUCACCAGGUACCUCAAGUUCGAUCACCAAGUCCCCAAGUAAUCUGGUAAGGGGACCUACUGACCAUGAACAACUGGAGUGUACUCCACGGAGAUCCAACAGAAUGAUUAAACGGAUCCAAGAGCAGUGUGUAACCUCUACACCUGUCAAAGCUUCACCUUUCCUGUCCGGACUUGCCCGCCGCUGUUCCAACAAAGUGCAAAGGAUAUCAGACACAGAAUCAUCAGGCAACAAAUCAAAUCCAAGAAAGCCCAAGAGGAGUCAAACAUCUAGACAAUUACUUAAAAGACAGAGCUGCAGAAGCAACAGCAGCCAUUCUCAAUCAAAACGUAGCAGUAAAAUAAAAACGGACGCACAAGAACAUUUUAGGGAACAAUCUCAACGAUGUAAACCAAGAAUCAAUGUGGACAUUUCAAGUUCAGGCGAGCAAGAUGAGUCUUUGCCAUCGUCAGACCUAUCAAUAGAGCUUAGUUUACAUGAGGAACCACAGGCACGAGACUCCUUCCCUGAGGAUGAGGAGAGUCAAGAAGAG
rnacentral:lncRNA from 1 species